rnacentral:rRNA from 1 species
GUUAUCACGGGAGACACACGGCGGGUGCUAACGUCCGUCGUGAAGAGGGAAACAACCCAGACCGCCAGCUAAGGUCCCAAAGUCAUGGUUAAGUGGGAAACGAUGUGGGAAGGCCCAGACAGCCAGGAUGUUGGCUUAGAAGCAGCCAUCAUUUAAAGAAAGCGUAAUAGCUCACUGGUCGAGUCGGCCUGCGCGGAAGAUGUAACGGGGCUAAACCAUGCACCGAAGCUGCGGCAGCGAACGUAUCACUUAAAGCGAUUCAGCGGAUGACGAUUGACGGAGCGAAGCGACGUCAAAGCGUAUACAAAGUCGAGUCGGUUUAAGGAUACGUUCGUUGGGUAGGGGAGCGUUCUGUAAGCCUGYGAAGGUGKSYYGUGAGGSWUGCUGGAGGUAUCAGAAGUGCGAAUGCUGACAUAAGUAACGAUAAAGCGGGUGAAAAGCCCGCUCGCCGGAAGACCAAGGGUUCCUGUCCAACGUUAAUCGGGGCAGGGUGAGUCGACCCCUAAGGCGAGGCCGAAAGGCGUAGUCGAUGGGAAACGGGUUAAUAUUCCCGUACUUGGUGUUACUGCGAAGGGGGGACGGAGAAGGCUAUGUUGGCCGGGCGACGGUUGUCCCGGUUUAAGCGUGUAGG